rnacentral:rRNA from 1 species
AUUGAACGCUGGCGGCAUGCCUAACACAUGCAAGUCGAACGGUAACGCGGAGAGCUUGCUCUCUGGCGACGAGUGGCGGACGGGUGAGUAAUACUUGGGAAUCUGCCCAGUAGUGGGGGACAACAUUCGGAAACGGAUGCUAAUACCGCAUACGCACUACGGUGGAAAGUGGGGGAUCUUCGGACCUCACGCUAUUGGAUGAGCCCAAGUCGGAUUAGCUUGUAGGUAGGGUAACGGCCUACCUAGGCGACGAUCCGUAGCUGGUCUGAGAGGACGAUCAGCCACACUGGGACUGAGACACGGCCCAGACUCCUACGGGAGGCAGCAGUGGGGAAUAUUGGACAAUGGGCGCAAGCCUGAUCCAGCAAUGCCGCGUGUGUGAAGAAGGCCUGCGGGUUGUAAAGCACUUUCAGUAGAGAAGAAAGGCCUAGGGUUAAUACCCCUGAGUCUUGACGUAACCUACAGAAGAAGCACCGGCUAACUCCGUG